rnacentral:rRNA from 1 species
AACCUGGUUGAUCCUGCCAGUAGUCAUAUGCUUGUCUCAAAGAUUAAGCCAUGCAUGUCUAAGUAUAAGCUUUUAUACAGCGAAACUGCGAAUGGCUCAUUAUAACAGUUAUAGUUUAUUCGGUAUUGUUUGCUACAUGGAUAACCGUGGUAAUUCUAGAGCUAAUACGUGCUUCAAGGCCUUUUUGGCUGCAGUUAUUAGAUUUUGACCUAACUUUUUAGUGAUUUAUAGUAACUUAGCGAAUCAUUAUUAUAGACCGUUCAAGUUUCUGACCUAUCAGCUUUUGACGGUAAGGUAUUGGCUUACCGUGGCAUUGACGGGUAACGGGGAAUUAGGGUUCGAUUCCGGAGAGGGAGCCUGAGAGACGGCUACCACAUCUAAGGAAGGCAGCAGGUGCGCAAAUUACCCAAUCCUGACACAGGGAGGUAGUGACAAGAAAUAACAAAGCAGAGCACAGAGUGUUUUGCUAUUGGAAUGAGUGGGAGGUAAAAAUCCCCACGAGUAGCAAUUGGAGGGCAAGUCUGGUGCCAGCAGCCGCGGUAAUUCCAGCUCCAAUAGCGUAUAUUAAAGUUGUUGCAGUUAAAAAGCUCGUAGUUGAAGUUGUGUUUCGCUGUGGCUCAGUGGCGGUCGUCACUGAACUCAACGAUUCAUUUUCCCAUUUGAAUUUUUGGGACUGUUACUUUGAGGAAAUUAGAGUGCUCCAAGCAAGCUUUGCUUUGAAUACUACAGCAUGGUAUAACGAUAUAAGACUUUUGUCAAUGUCGUUGGGUCCGGACAAAAGUAAAGAUUAAUAGGAGCGGUUGGGGGCAUUCGUAUUCAACAGUCAGAGGUGAAAUUCUUGGGAUUUGUUGGAAGACGACUAGUGCGAAGCAUCUGCCCAAGACGUUUUCAUUAAUCAAGAACGAAAGUUAGGGGAUCGAGACGAUAGAAACCGUCGUAGUCUUAACCAUAAAACUAUGCCGACUAGGGAUUGGAAGGUUGGUCCAUCUCGACUC